rnacentral:misc_RNA from 1 species
UUUCUUCUUAAUAAUCACAUCAUCAUCCGGUGCUACUUUUCUGACCGGCGGUGGGUUGACGGUGACCGGAGACGGCGCGACGGUAGCGGCAGCGGCAGAGGCUCAGAGUAAUAGAUAUGGCGGAAGACAAGUAUAAUCUAAAAAAUCCAGCGGUGAAGAGAAUCUUACAGGAGGUUAAAGAGAUGCAAUCAAAUCCUUCCGAUGAUUUCAUGAGCCUUCCUCUUGAGGAGAACAUAUUUGAA